rnacentral:rRNA from 1 species
CCUGCUGCAUGGUGGGGGUUGGAAAGUUUCGGCGGUUGGGGAUGGACUGCGGCUUAUCAGCUUGUGGUGGGGUAGUGGCUUACCAAGGCUUUGACGGGUAGCCGGCCUGAGAGGGUGACCGGCCACAUUGGGACUGAGAUACGGCCCAGACUCCUACGGGAGGCAGCAGUGGGGAAUAUUGCACAAUGGCGGAAGCCUGAUGCAGCAACGCCGCGUGCGGGAUGACGGCCUUCGGGUUGUAAACCGCUUUCGCCUGUGACGAAGCGUGAGUGACGGUAAUGGGUAAAGAAGCACCGGCUAACUACGUG